CCCUUAGAUGAUUUGGGCUGCACGCGCGCUACACUGACCCUAACAAUGAGCAACUGUCUGGCCUGAGAUGGCUGGGUAGCCUUUUCAACCCAUGUCAUGAUUGGGCUAGAUUUUUGUAAGUCUUGAUCUCUAACGAGGAAUCCCUAGUAUGCGUGAAUCAUCAAUCCAUGCAGAUUAUGUCCCUGCCCUUUGUACACACCGCCCGUCGCUCCUACCGAUUGAACGAUCCGAUGAAAACUGUGGAUUGAGAGUCUGAGUGGGUUCGCCUACCUCAACUUUCGAGAAGCGGUUUAAAUCUUAUCGUUUAGAGGAAGGAGAAGUCGUAACA
rnacentral:rRNA from 1 species